rnacentral:sRNA from 1 species
CGCACGUGUCGCGCCCUUUGUAGGGCCGCC